rnacentral:rRNA from 1 species
UAUGUCCUAUUAGCUAGUUGGCGGGAUAAAAGCCCACCAAGGCAAUGAUAGGUAGCUGGUCUAAGAGGAUGAACAGCCACAAUGGGAUUGAGAUACGGCCCAUAUUCCUACGGGAAGCAGCAGUAGGGAAUCUUCCACAAUGGACGAAAGUCUGAUGGAGCAAUGCCAUGUGAACGACGAAGGCCAGACAGGUCGUAAAGUUCUUUUAGAGGGGAAAAAUCUGAUGGUACCCUCUGAAUAAGUGACAGCAAACUAUGUGCCAGCAGCUGCGGUAAUACAUAGGUCGCGAGCGUUAUUCGGAUUUAUUGGGCGUAAAGCAAGCGCAGGCGGAUGAAUAAGUUCUGCAUUAAAAGCAGCUGCUUAACAGUUGUUUGUGCCGAAUACUAUUCAUCUAGAAUGUGGUAGAAAGUUUUGGAAUUAAAUAUGGAGCGGUGGAAUGUGUAGAUAUAUUUAAGAACACCAGAGGCGAAGGCGAAAACUUAGGCCAUUAUUGACGCUUAGGCUUGAAAGUGUGGGUAGCAAAUGGGAUUAGAUACCCCAGUAGUCCACACCGUAAACGAUGGGUAUUAGAUGUCGGGACUUGAGUUUCGGCGUUGUAGCUUACGUGUUAAAUACCCCGCCUGGGUAGUACAUAUGCAAAUAUGAAACUCAAAGGAAUUGACGGGGACCUGAACAAGUGGUGGAACAUGUUGCUUAAUUCGAUAAUACACGAAAAACCUUACCAAGGUUUGACAUCCUCUGCAAAGCUAUAGAAAUAUAGUGGAGGUUAUCAGAGUGACAGGUGGUGCAUGGUUGUCGUCAGCUCGUGUCAUGAGAUGUUUGGUUAAGUCCCGCAACGAGCGCAACCCUACUCUUUAGUUACUUGUCUAAAGA